CCAGAGUCUCGAGUAUUUGGGUUCCGGGGGGCGCCGAAGGCGCAUGCCACGGAGGAGUCUACAGAUGAGUGGGUUCUGGCCCACUGGUGUCCCUUGAAUAGGCGUAUGAGCCGCUGAGAUGGCUGAACGUAUCACGUUGAUGGACCGGUAUGACUUCCCGGUUGUGAACAGAGAGGUGAGGAAAUUCAUGAUGGAGGGAAUAGGUGCCGUAAAGGGAUUGAGAUCC